UGCGUAGGCGGCGAUGUAAGUCAGAUGUGAAAUCCCCGGGCUCAACUCGGGUUCUGCAUUUGAAACUACAUUGCUUGAGUGCAGGAGAGGAAAGCGGAAUUCCUAGUGUAGCGGUGAAAUGCGUAGAUAUUAGGAAGAACACCAGUGGCGAAGGCGGCUUUCUGGACUGUAACUGACGCUGAGGCACGAAAGCGUGGGGAGCAAACAGGAUUAGAUACCUGGUAGUCCACGCUGUAAACGAUGGAUACUAGGUGUGGGGGACAUACAACCUCUGUGCCGGAGCAAACGCAAUAAGUAUCCCGCCUGGGGAGUACGGCCGCAAGGUUGAA
rnacentral:rRNA from 1 species